AUCACUUUCAACAACGGAUCUCUUGGCUCUCGCAUCGAUGAAGAACGUAGCCCAGUGCGAUAAGUAAUGUGAAUUGCAGAAUUCCGUGAAUCAUCGAAUCUUUGAACGCAAAUUGCACUCUCUUCGGAGAGUAUGCCUGUUUGAGGGUCAGU
rnacentral:rRNA from 1 species